GCUCCUUGGCCUCCCGUUGCACACCUGCCUACAGACGACUAUCAGACUAGCUAGUGAGAUUUAUGCUAAGCCUUUGCAGCACAAAGGUCAAGUGGUUGUACGAUAAGUUGGGUUAGGCAAGAUGACACAUCAACUCAGUCCUUAAUCAACACAAGGCAGAUAUCUUCCAUACUCAGCCACACAGGCACGAGCCAAUACUCCAAGGCAUCCCACACAAGGAACCCUGAUCCCCCAAUCUAAAUAAACACCAACACUAAGCUGUUUAUUAUUACUUUUCCAAAAUUCCAAUCCACACUCGCACCAACACACUC
rnacentral:lncRNA from 1 species